rnacentral:lncRNA from 1 species
UACAUAUUUAAUUGCCUUGAAUAAUUUAUAUCAUCAAUUGAAGCUCCUUUAUUAUUUUUUUCUCCUACUUUAUUACAAGUGUAUGUAUGUAGGUUCUUUUUGCUCUCAUAUAUUCUGUAGUUGCAUAUACUGGAGAAGUUUUUUUGAAGAGUGCGAGGAGAAAGCAAGAGCGAGACUUGUGGUAUUUCUAAAUUAAGACCCUCGUUAAUAGUGUUGUGUCGGCCCUUAUUUAGGACUGAAGACUGCACUCCCAUCCAAAGUAUCGAUCAGGUCCAGUUCUGUCAUUUAUAGUACUGACAGUCCGAAGGGCCUCUCCCAUGGACUAAUAGGAACUUUUCUAAGACGAGGCUGGAUAAAUACGGACUGACACAACACUACUCAUGAAUAUCAGCUGUCUAUAAUAUGAUUUUGGGGGAGGAAAUGAAUUGCUGCAUAAAAAGGAGAGCCUUUUACUUUUAAAAUAGCAUUAUUGCAAGGGAAAUAUUAUGGUUGUGUUAAAAAAUCCCACAUAUUAGAGAAAUACAAUUGUUUGGGGAUAUCCUCUUUUUUUCUUUUUUGUGGAUUCUAAAAUAGAUUGUCCUGGUGUUAACAACAUCUAUCCUUCAAAACAAUAAUUCCUUGUUUUUUUUCAGUAUUCAAAAAUGUAGUUAUAUAUAAAUAUAACCCUAAUAUUUUCCUUACACAAAUGCUAUUUUAAAUGUUGAAGGGCCUCUUCAUAUAGCAGUAAUUAAUUGUCUCUCCUAAAAAUCAUAUAGUAAGCAGCUUAUGUUAACAAUUCCAUUAAUUGAGUAAUAUCAAGGUAUAUGCAUAGAAGAUAAGUUCUUCUCAACUCUUCAACUGUGUCAACCAUGUUUGCAGCCAACAUGCCUUGUGUAGUCAUCAUAAUUUUUAAGGUGAACAUUUACCUCUGUAAUAAAGUUUUAUUGGAAGUUUCAUUGGGGAAAAGGAUGGAAUUAUUGGGAUCCGAAUUUCUCGGGGUACGGGUAACCCACAUGCGUUUACUGGAGUUACACUGCCUCUUUAACUUACUUCUGUCUUCAUCUCUCUCUCUCCUUUAUCUCACCAAGUGAAGCCCUCCUAUCGCGGAGGACAGGUGGAAUCCUUGUCUCUACAGAUAUAGUCGAAUUCUAUACAGAUGUACAGAUUAUACAGAUCGAAUUCUGUUCUCUCUCUCUCCGGAAGAAGCCGUCAUGUAAUCACGGAGAGUGAAUGGAGUCCUUACUCUCUAUCUUCAGAUGAGGUCACCAUCGUGUCAUGAAGAAUGGGAUGGAAUCCUCUCUCUCUCUCCCCGAGGAAGCCGUAAUCGUGUGGUGGAGGAUGUAUGGUAAUCUCCUAAUCUAUUGUUUUUAAAUCAUUUGCCCCGGUUGCUUAGGGAGUGAUACUAUAUUCGCCCUUCUUUGCUUCGGAUCCUGAUUUAUUAAGAAUUUAAACAUAAAUAUAAUUUUGAUUUUUUUGUCAAUAUCUUAAAAUAUACAUUAAAACUCAUCCUUAGAGAGAAAUAUAUAGUCUUCUAUUCAUAUAGAAAUAAAUUUUACUACA